CCACCGUUGGUCUAAUGGUUAGGAUUCGACCCUCCUACGGACGAAGUCGGGAUUUGAUUCCCCGGCGGCGCA